UACGUAGGGACCAAGCGUUGUUCGGAUUUACUGGGCGUAAAGGGCGCGUAGGCGGCAUGACAAGUCACUUGUGAAAUCUCUGGGCUUAACUCAGAACGGCCAAGUGAUACUGCUGUGCUAGAGUGCAGAAGGGGCAAUCGGAAUUCUUGGUGUAGCGGUGAAAUGCGUAGAUAUCAAGAGGAACACCUGAGGUGAAGACGGGUUGCUGGGCUGACACUGACGCUGAGGCGCGAAAGCCAGGGGAGCGAACGGG
rnacentral:rRNA from 1 species